AUGUCGUCGGUGCGCGAAUGUAGCAUCAUUAACUUCUAUUGUUACGACAUUCGUGUGAAAACCAGACAAAACCAUUCUGGCCUUGUCUCAGUGGUCUCGUGGGGGGGUGAGAGACACUAUCCACGGCUGAACUCAGUCGAGGAUCAAACAACUCACCAUGGAGCCACAGGAGCGACCACAGCCCGGGACAAAACCGAGAACCAACCGCGUCAGGCCCAGGAAAGGCGAUGUGAAGGUGUCUAUGGUGAACAUGUGUGGUCCCUCCUCCACCAUCCUGGGGAAGAUCUACCAGCAGACUGCCCUGUCUAUCAACAGCACCCGGACAAGCAGAGGGACAGAACCAACCACGGUAAGCAUAGGAUGAGGGGAUUAGGGCUAGUUAAAUUAAUUGUUUCGAUUACAGAGUUAGGG
rnacentral:lncRNA from 13 species